UACGGAGGGGGCUAGCGUUGUUCGGAAUUACUGGGCGUAAAGCGCGCGUAGGCGGACCUGCAAGUCGGGGGUGAAAGCCCGAGGCUCAACCUCGGAACUGCCUUCGAUACUGCGGGUCUCGAGUCCGAGAGAGGUGAGUGGAAUUCCUAGUGUAGAGGUGAAAUUCGUAGAUAUUAGGAAGAACACCAGUGGCGAAGGCGGCUCACUGGCUCGGUACUGACGCUGAGGCGAGAAAGCGUGGGGAGCAAACAGG
rnacentral:rRNA from 1 species